rnacentral:ncRNA from 1 species
CCGGCUGAGGAGCGCUGCAGCGGUUCCACCGUCAGGCUCAGCCGGAUGUUCCCUGAAGUACACGGCGCUCAUCCAGA